rnacentral:misc_RNA from 1 species
GAACAGAACGACUCCUGCUUCGUCUCGAUCUCUCAUCUUCCCUCUCCCGCUCCCUCUUCUCCCUUUCUCUCCUUUCUCUUUCUUUCUCCUUCUCCCUUUCCCUCUCCUUGUCCCUUCUAUCCUUGUCCCUCUCUCUGUCCUUCUCCUUAUGCCUCUCUCUAUCUCUCUCCUUAUCCCUUCUAUCCUUGUCUCUCUCCCUCUCCUUCUCCUUCUCCUUAUGUCUAUCUCUAUCUCUCUCCUCUCUAUCCCUGUCUCUAUCCCUUUCCUUCUCACUGCUACCCCUAUCUCUCGUACGGUUCCUUUCUCUAUCCCUCUCUUUUCCCCCAUCUGUUUCUUCCUCUCUGUCUCUUCGAUGCCGAUCUUUCCCUCGGCCCGAGUGAUCCCUAUCCUCCUUCCCAUUUUCAUGCUCGCUUCUCGACCGCUUGACCUUCAGCUCCUCGUCCUCACGACCACCGGAGCCAGCUUCCUCGUCUACCUCUCUCUUUCUGCUGCUUUUCUCGUUCCUCUCGCUCUCGCUCUUCUUUGGCUUCCUUGUCUCCCUAUCAUCCUGAUCCUCCACAGCUUUUUCCAGGUAAUCGUACUCGUCGAAGUCCAUCGAAUCUUCAGAAAUUCAGCUGCUCGAGAGUAGACCCACAAAGUGAAAGCUUGAGAUCUCGCCGGAAUUCGUGUUGGAACAAAGUCAGCGAAGCUAGGUUGGGGACGAAAUUUCGAUAAAUUGUGAAUUCUAGGGUUUUUUGAAGGGGGUUUCUAGGAGAGGAA